rnacentral:rRNA from 1 species
UGAGGGAUAUUGCACAAUGGGCGCAAGCCUGAUGCAGCGACGCCGCGUGGGUGAAGAAGGUCUUCGGAUCGUAAAGCCCUUUUCUGCGUGACGAGGAACAGACGGUAGCGCAGGAAGAAGUCUCGGCUAACUACGUGCCAGCAGCCGCGGUAAAACGUAGGAGGCGAGCGUUAUCCGGAGUUACUGGGCGUAAAGCGCGUGUAGGUGGUCUGGUAAGCUGGAUGUGAAAGUUCCCGGCUCAACCGGGGAAAGCCAUAGAGGACUGCCAGACUUGAGGGGGGUAGAGGGGCGUAGAAUUCCGGGUGUAGCGGUGAAAUGUGUAGAGAUCCGGAGGAAUACCAGAGGUGAAGACGGCGCCCUGGGCCCGACCUGACACUGAGACGCGAAAGCGUGGGGAGCGAACGGGAUUAGAUACCCCGGUAGUCC